UUUACCAGCAUGCCUCAGCUGUGGAGCUGUAUGACUGGGAUGAGUUUGUCCUGCUGCCCUGUGAGUUUCAAACUUUUGACAUGGACGACCCUACAGUGGUGUGGAGCCGCUACGAUCUCAAUCCUCCAACCGUCCACCAGCGUCAGCAGGAAGGUGAUGAACUUAAAGACCAAAACCAGCUUUACAGCGGCCGAACAUCCAUGAUGGCUGAUGCUCUGGAAACUGGAGACCUCAGCCUCAAGCUGACAAAACUCCGCCUCUCUGACAGCGGCACCUACACCUGCACCGCCAGAGCAUUAGGAGGACAACGGAGAGUGAGAAACAUACAGCUGCAGGUCAAAGGUCAGCAACAAACCCUAAAAACUAAUAUAUAUAGGUCAGUAUUGUAGAUACAGGUCAGAGGUCAGUACUGUAGAUACAGGUCAGAGGUCAGUACUGUAGAUAUAGGUCAGAGGUCAUGAUCUUUAUGUUUCUGUUCCCCCACAGAACGAUUUCCACCCUGGGCUAAAGCUCUCCUGGUUCUCCUGGUUCUCCUGGUUCUUGGUCUUAUUGUUUCUGGGGGUCUUUUGGUGCAUUUUCGGCAGUAUUUCAUGUCAGUCUACCAGGUGGAGGUGGAUUCAGGGGUGGAGUCUGUCCUGCUGCCCUGCAAAACCACAGUUCACCUGCUUAAGCAGGUCACAGUGGAGUGGACGGACAGUGACAACUGGAAGGUCCAUGUGUAUCAGAACGGUUCUGAUCAGCCUGAAGAACAGAACCAGGAUUACAGAGACCGAACAGAGAUGAAGAGAAACCUGCAGGAACCUGGAGACCUCAGUCUGACCCUGAAAUACCCCACAGACAGAGACAGAGACACCUUCACCUGCACCGUCUACAACAGGGAGAGAAAGAUCCUGAUGGAGAAACAAGUGCUGCUCAAGGUCAAAGUCUGUCAGGUGGAGGUGGAGGAGGGGGCGGAGUCUGUCCAACUGCCCUUUAAGACCACAGCUAACCUGCCUGAGGACGCUACAGUGAGGUGGAUCCGCUAUGAACCUUACAGGACGGUCCAUGUGUAUAAGAACGGUUCUGACCGGCCUGACAAACAGAACCAGGAUUACAGAGACCGAACUGAGAUGAAUGACGACCUGCUGAAAGCUGGAGACCUCAGUCUGACCCUGGAAUCCCCCAAAGAGAGAGACACAGGAACAUACUGCUGCAACGUCUACAACAAGGAGGGAAACUUCCUGAGAGAGAAAAUAGUGGAGCUCAAAGUCAGAGGGAGAACCAGGAACAGAAGCAGCUCCAUUGAUCCAACUCCUCUGAUGGCUGAUCAAUCUGUUUGAUUGGUCUGUUGAUCAAUCUUUGAUUAUUGAUCUUGUUGAAGGGGCUCAAAGGAAGAGAAUGUCAACGUUCAGCUUUCAGUGUUUCCUCUCUUCAUCGUCUGAAUGAACCUGCAGUCCAUACUGUGAUUGAUUGAUUGAUUGAUUGAUUGAUUGAUUGUUCUCAUGUAGCUCUAUAAUGUUUCUCUGAUGUUUGUGUAUUCAGCUUCUAUACAUAUAUAUCUGGCUGUGUCUCAGGAGGUAGAGCGGGUCGUCCACUGAUCAGAAGGUUACUGGUUCGAUCCCCGGCUCCUCCCGCUGCAUGUCGAAGUGUCCUUGAGCAAAAUACUGAACCCCAAACUGCUCCUGAUGCUGAAUCACUGUAUGAAUGAGUGAAUGUGUGAAUGAGUGAAUGUAUGAAUGAGUGAAUGUGUGAAUGAGUCAGCUGAACUGUUCUCAUGUGUUUGAAUCCAUAAAGUGUUGUGAGCAGAUGAGUUAUGGAUUCGAUCAUUUCACACUCUGUUUAGAGAAUGAUGAAUAUUGAGGAGAACAACUGUAAAUAAAGCUCAAAUGUACAGAAAUCAUUUCUCCACUCUGACAGCAUCAUGAAAAUGGAUCUAAAGCUGUGAGAAUGAUGGAUUCAGGAGGCAUCAAAACUUUGAUUACUACUCUCUUCUGAAAUAACAAAACUGCUCAGUGUGACGGCCUUAUUGUGUUCCUCUUGCUUGGUUGUUUACUCUUUGUUUCAGGUAGUAAGGGGUGGAGCUGAGAUUACUCUCUGCUGCAGCUCACCUGAGCAGACUCUCUCACUCUCUUCCUCUGGCUGCUGACUGAACUGUUGGGUUUUGUUUGUGUUCUGGGUUUUACAUUCAUACAUAUACACCUCACCCUUCACUCACAUAUUAAACUGUACUGAUUAUUUUGGUGUUUACUUCAUUAAAUUGUCAUAACAAUUCACAGACUGUGUGGUCUCCGUCUUUGUUCCACUCUUUUGAGCCAGGUUGUGACUUCAGUUUGCCUUUAGUUAUUGAUGAUACUCAUCUAUGUGAAGACACUGAUCACGUUAAUGAUUUCUCACAAUAAUUAUCAACAAUGACUUUAAAAGGUGGGAAACAGAUAUUAACUAAUCUAUUAACAAUAUUCAAUCUCAUAUUUAGAAGAGGCCUGAGGGCGACUAUAUUCCAGUAUAAAGUGUCUGUUACACUCCGGUUGUAUUAUAGCAGAGUUCAACUGUUU
rnacentral:lncRNA from 1 species